GUUUUAAUAAUUUAAUAUAAAAUAUUGAUUUUGUAAAUCAAAUUUAAGACUAAAAACCUUUUAAAACU
rnacentral:tRNA from 1 species